rnacentral:rRNA from 1 species
UAACACGUAGGGGGCGAGCGUUGUCCGGAAUUACUGGGCGUAAAGCGCGCGCAGGCGGCUUGGUAAGCAGAGGGUGAAAUCACGGGGCUCAACUCCGUGGCUGCUCUCUGAACUGCCAGGCUAGAGUGCGGGAGAGGGCAGUGGAAUUGCUGGUGUAGCGGUGGAAUGCGUAAAUAUCAGCAAGAACGCCAGUGGCGAAGGCUGCUGCCUGGAACGAUACUGACGCUGAGGCGCGAAAGCUAGGGGAGCAAACGGG